UAUCUGGUUGAUAGGCUGCAGAUGUAAGCAUGGUGACAUGUUCAGUCGAGCAGUACUAAUAAGUCGUGAGGCUUGACCAU
rnacentral:rRNA from 1 species